GAUGAACGCUAGCUACAGGCUUAACACAUGCAAGUCGAGGGGAAACGCCAUCGAAAGCUUGCUUUUGAUGGGCGUCGACCGGCGCACGGGUGAGUAACGCGUAUCCAACCUGCCCAUCACUUGGGAAUAACCUUGCGAAAGUAAGACUAAUACCCAUUGUUAUCCCACGAAGGCAUCGGAAUGGGUUUCUAGAUUUAUCGGUGAUGGAUGGGGAUGCGUCUGAUUAGCUGGUUGGCGGGGUAACGGCCCACCAAGGCAACGAUCAGGAGGGGGUCGGAGGGGAAGGUACCUGACAUUGGAGCAGAGACACGGACCAAGCGACUACGGGAGGCAGCAGUGAGGAACAGGAGGCAAUGGGGGAGAGCCUGAGCCAGCCAAGUAGCGUGCAGGAAGACGGCGCUAUGGGUGGGAUACUGCUUUUAGGAGGGAAUAAAGUGGGUCACGUGUGACUUUUUGCAGGUACCUGAUGAAUAAGGACCGGCUAACUCCGUG
rnacentral:rRNA from 1 species